CACAGAAUAACAGACCAGGACUACCUGGGCCUAAAGGAGCCAAAGGUCACAGAGGAUCUGAAGGAAAUUCUGGACCACCAGGACCACCUGGGCCACAAGGAGCUGAUGAAUGUGAGAUUCUGGAUAUCAUCAUGAAGAUGUGCUGUGAGUAGACCUGUUUUUGUAUUUAACCAUGACUCACUUCUCAGUUUCACUGCCUCCAUAAAUGGCGUAGGCCUACUGCCUGUCACCCACACUGAUUUAACAACAUAACGUCAGCUCAUGCCAUGAAGUGAUGAUGCACAAUAUUGAUGUUCACAAUACUCUGCAGACCAGUAGAAAACAUGCAAAAAGUUGGGUAAGGCAUGAGAGAAAUUUGAAAA